rnacentral:lncRNA from 12 species
GGAAUCUCUGUAUAGUUCCACAGUGAACAUAUCUUGAGAGCAGUAAGACAUGUUGGCACACUGUUGUGAGUUCGCACAGCAAGGAUGAUUUCCAUCACUUCCAUCGUGGUGAAAAAGGAUGCUGUGAGAAAGAAAACAUUUUACAUGAGAAAAGAAGCACAGAGAAAUUAAACAGCUUGCCUAAGGUCACACAGGAAGCUUUGAAGAGAGACUGCACUCUACCUGCUAGGAGGAAGAAAAUUAAGUUGAAGGUUCACAGCUGUAAAGGGGUUGGCUACAGUUUCACAUAUGAACCUUGCUCAGCAUUUUGA